CGGGGAGGGGCGGAGGGAAGCCGUUAGAGGUGGGAGUUGGCGUUGCGGGCCGGGCGGGGGCCGCGGGGCUGCGAUGCGGACGGCACCGCGGCGGUGACCGGAGCUGCCGCCCGACAUGAACUCGCUGGAGCAGGCGGAAGAUCUCAAGGCUUUUGAGAGGAGACUUACAGAAUAUAUUCAUUGUUUGCAACCUGCCACUGGACGUUGGAGAAUGCUGCUUAUAGUGGUAUCUGUCUGUACAGCUACUGGUGCCUGGAACUGGUUAAUAGAUCCCGAGACACAAAAGAUCAGAGACCUUAUCUUCAUUCAUUCAACAGUACUGAUUGAGCACCUAUGUUUGCCAAGCACUAUUUCAGAUAUUGGGAGAACAGAGAUGCACAAGACAGUGUCUCUACUCUUGUGGAAUUUACAGUCUUCUGCUUUUAUGUGUCCUUCUUCACAUCAUUAUGGAAUCACCCGUUUUUCACCAUUAGCUGUAUCACUCUAAUAGGCUUGUUCUUUGCUGGAAUACACAAGAGGGUCGUUGCACCAUCAAUUAUAGCUGCUCGAUGUCGAACUGUAUUAGCAGAAUACAAUAUGUCUUGUGAUGAUCUGAGCCAGCCGGGCGCCCCUUGAUUGACAUUUUAUGGAGACUGGGCUAAGAAUUGUUCUAGCUGAAGAUGCUCUGCCCUCAUUAUCAGCAGCUCCCCUGUCAUUUCCUCCUGCCAAGACCAUAGAAACUCAAGUUUUAUUCUUCCUUCAGACUACACUUUCUAUAUGCUUUUGCACUGAGUAAGUAGAAUUUCUUUUACCCUCUAAAAAUUGGGAGCGCAUCUUGUCUGCAUCAUGAAACACAUUUUAAAAACAUGUUUUUAAUGUAUGAUUAAUUGCUAUGCAAGUCUGAUUGUGUGAGAGACAAAAAUGAGAGUAAAAGGAUGUCUUACCGGCAAGUAUCAUUUUUGCAGACUGCUUUUUAUGUGCGUGGCAAGUGCUUUGCUGGGUAUGAAGGUAUGAAAAAUGUGUGAGGUAGACUCUUUGCCCUCUCAGAACCAGUGGGGAAUGCAGACCAAUGAUCCAGCAGUUACCAUGUUUUUUAAAUGCUAUGCCAGGUAAGUGUAGAUGCCCAGGGGAAGGGGGUCCAGCCUGCACUGGGCUCUCUAAAGAAGUUCUUUCCAAAUGGAUCUGAAGGGUCACUGGGGGCGCACACAGGCAGUUUUUGAAUGUGGCUGGCAGCAUGGAGUUGGAGAGGGGUUGUGGCGAGAGAUGAGACUGGCAGCAAGUAGGAACCAGGGGUCGGGACUACUGCAAGGGCAGUGGGAAGCCACCGAGAGUUUUGAGUAGCGCGGUGACAACUGGGUUUGCAUUUGAUGAUGAUGACUACUGUGGACUGAAGGGACAUGGCCUGGGAGCUGCUGCUACAGUCCAGGGGACACGUGUGGGCUCUUGAGCUAGAGUUCGGCAAGGGGGACCAGAGGAGUGAGAGCUUUUGGAAGUCACACGAGUGAGGCCCAGUGGGAGCCAGAGAGGGGUAGCACUUGAGCCUGAAGCCCAUCACCCUUUCUCGUCCCAUGUAUCCUGUUACAGAAAUAAAGGUUCUGUGAUCAUGCAUUUUGGGAACAUCCUCCUCUUGGAAUUCCCCAUGCUCCAAAGUUUAUUAGAAGCUCCAAGAAGCCCUGCAGUAGAGAAACAGCUUCUGCCUGUUUCCCUCCCAUUUUUUUUUUUUUUUUUAAGAUUUUAUUUAUUUAUUUGAGACAGAGAGAAUGAGAUACAGAGAGCAUGAGAGGGAGGAGGGUCAGAGGGAGAAGCAGGCUCCUCGCCGAGCAGGGAGCCCGAUGCGGGACUCGAUCCCAGGACUCCAGGAUCAUGACCUGAGCCGAAGGCAGUCGCUUAACCAACUGAGCCACCCAGGCGCCCUGUUUCCCUGCCAUUUUGUGACAUAACUUAGCACUCACUGUGGAUGCUUGGUUUCUCUUUACCAAGCUCCUGUUGAGUACUCUUGCUGGGUUUGGGAAUAGCAGCCAAAUCAGUCCAGCUUCUCCCACACAACCUAGAACACACCCUUGACUCCUUUGCAUCUGGGAAGUGGCCAUGCGGGGAGGCUGGAGAGCUGCGUUUCUGUUUCAGGGUGCUCAGUGGUGCUUGCUGGUGGUGGCCCCGGUUUCAUCAGGCCAGUUGGAUAGCAUGAGUUUGGGCAUUUUUUUUUUUCUAAGUUUAGUCUUAGACUGGUCUCUGUAGACCUCCCCCAAAUUCUCUGAGUUACCCAGUGUCCUUUCAGUGAUACGUUUUCUGUUUAACCAAAGUUGGCUUCUCCUACUUGCAACUAAGCCCCUGACCCACACAGAAGCAGUGUUCCAAGGAGCACGGUUUGAGGAGAGUUGAUCUGUAUAGAGGACUCAGGCACUGCUUCAAACCAAGCAUGAUGUCGUCUGCCAGGUUAGGGGACUUCAGGCCAUGUGUAGUGGAAGAGCCCCAGCGGCGGGUUGACUGGUUUAUAAUCCUGGUUCAUCCACUAGCCACUUAGGGGCCGGUGACUCAUUGUCUCUGAACCUUGCUGUCCUCAUUUGGGCCUAUUCGUAGCUGUCUUGCAGAACUGUUGUAAGGACUAAAUGAAAUAAUGUAUGUAAGAUAUAUAACUUCCUGGGUGUUUUUAUUACAAACAGAUUUUUAUUUUAAGUCCCUAUUCUGGCAUAUGUAGAUCUUCAGUACCCAAGAGCCCCUGGCAAGAUGCUCAGUGACUAUCCGUUGAAUGAAUGAAUCUUGAUUUUGGUAUUGAAAUUGGGUUUGUGCAUAAUUACACUAAAAAAUCACUUUCCUUACAUAAUUUGCCUAUCUAGUUUUGGGAGAGGUUACUUUUUUUUUUAAUGCUCUUUUUUAAUUUUAAUUUUUCUUAAAGAUUUUAUUUGUCAGAGAGAGAGAGAGAGCACAAGCAGGGGGAGUGGCAGAGGGAGAAGCAGGCUCCCUGCUGAGCGGGGACCCGAAUGUGGGGCUCGAUCCCAACACCCUGGGAUCAUGACCUGAGCUGAAAGCAGCUGCUUAACCAACUGAGCCACCCAGGUGCUCUGGAGGUUACUUUUUUAAAAAAUAUUUUUAACUAUCUCUAUACCCAACAUGGGGCUUGAACUCAACCCCAAGAUCAGGAGUUGCACACUCCACUGACUGAGCCAGCCAGGGACCCCUGGUUUUGGUUAAGGUUCUUAAGAUAGAAGAGUAAAGGGAUGCCUGGGUGGCUCAGUCGGUUAAGCAUCUGCCUUCUGCUCAGGGCAUGAUCCUGGGUUCCUGGGAUCGACUCUCACAUUGGGCUCCCUGCUCAGUGGAGUCUGCUUCUCCCUUUCUCCCUCUGCUUUUCCCCCUGCUCGUGCUUGCACGAGCUCUCUCUCUCUCUCGUUCUCUCUCAAGUGGAUAAAUAAAAUCUUUUUUUUUAAGUUUUUUUUUUUUUAAUUUUUAUUUAUUUGACAUAGAGUGAGAGCAGGAACACAAGCAGGGGGAGUGGGAGAGGGAGAAGCAGGCUUCCUGCAGAACAGGGAGCCUGAUGUGGGGCUCGAUCCCAGGACCCUGGGAUCAUGACCUGAGCCAAAGGCAGACGCUUAACGACUGAGCCACCCAGGCGUCCCAUAAAUAAAAUCUAAAAAAAAAGACUGGGGCGCCUGUGUGGCUCAGAUGGUUAGGUGUCGGGUCAUGAUCUCCAGGUUCUGGGAUCGAGCCCCGUGUUGGGCUCCCAGCUCGGUGGGGAGUCUGCUUUUCCCUCUCUCUGCCUCUCCCCCUGCUUGUGCUCUCUCUGUCUCUCUCUCUCAAAAGAAUAAAUAAAAAAUUAAAAAAAAAAAAGACUAAAUGCUGAGAUUUUCCUUUUUAUUUUUUUUCCUAGAGAGGGAGUUGGAGAGGGGGAGAGAAUCUUAAGCAAGAUCUCACAACCCUGAGAUCAUGACCUGAGCCAAAAUUAAGAGUGGGACACUUAACCGAUGAGCCACCCAGUUGCCCCACCUUUUUUUUUUUUUAAAGUAAUCGCUACACCCAACAUGGAUUCGAACUCAUGAUCCCAAAUCAAGACUUGCAUGUUCCACUGACUGAACCAACCAGGAGCCCCUAAGAUUUGUCAUUUAAAUAACAGUAGAAGAACUAAAAUAACUUAGUUUACUAUAACUUCAUUAACUCAAAUGAGAAAUAUAUCCUUGUUAGAAGUUGCUUUUUAAAUUUUAAGUUAUCAGGGCGCCUGGGUGGCUCAGUUGGUUAAGCUUCUGCCUUCAGCUCAGGUCGUGAUCUCGGGGUUCUGGGAUCAAGUCCUGCAUAGGGCUCCCUGCUCAGUGGGGAGUCUGCUGCUCUCUCUACCCUUCUCCCCUGCUCGUGAUCUCUCCCUCUCUCUCUCCUUCUCUCAAAUAAAUAAAAUCUUUUUAAAAAAUAAAGAAAUUUUAAGUUAUCUAAAAUUAUGCAUCAGUAUCAUUAGACUUAUUUUUUUCCCCUGCUCUCCCCUGAAAACCAUCUUUUAAAAAACCAACAAAUUGUUAUUACGGAAAAUUUUAAACACAUGUAAGAGUAAAGAGAGCAGUAUAAUGAACACCCAGGUACCCAUCACCUCACUUCAACAAUUAGCAUAUACGUACCCAAUCUCAUCUACGCCCUAUUUCUACUUCCUUUCUCACCCCCCACAAAAGAUUAUUUUAAAGUUAAUCCCAUGUAUUUUAUUUUCCACCUGUGAAUCCAGUAAAUUUCUCCAGAAGAGAAGGACAUAACCACAAUGCUGUAUCAUACCUAAAAAGUUAACAGUAUUUCCACAACAUAAAAUAUACAGCUCAUACCUCCUCAGUUGUCUCAUAAAUACCUCUUUUACAGUUGGUUUGUUUGAAUCAAGAUUCAGAUAAAGUGAACUUGAAUAGCAACAGUUUGGAAAAACACAACGCGGGAGCUGGGGCUGGGUUUCUGAAAUCACUAUUUUAAAAAUUUUUUUGUUUUUAAUUCCAGGAUGAUUAAGAUAUAAUGUUAUAUUAGUUUCAAGUGUACAAUAUUAGUGAUUCAACAAUCCCAUACAUUACUCAGUGCUCAUCACAAUAAGUGUACUCCUAAUCCCCUUUAUUUCACCCAUCCCCCCCAUCCCCCCCCAUCUCUCCUCUGGCAACCACCAGUUUGUUCUCCAUAGUUAAGUCUGUUUCCUGUUGUUGUUUUUUUUCUUUGUUUUGUUUCUUAAGUUCCACAUGUGAGUGGAGUCAUAUGGUAUUUGUCUUUCUCUGACCGACUUAUUUUGCUCAGCAUUAUAUUCUCUAGCUGCAUCCAUGUUGUUGCAAAUAGCAAGAUUUCAUUCUUUUUAUGGCUGAGUAAUAUUCCAUUGUAUAUAUAUACUAUUAUCUUCUUUAUCCGUUCAUCAAUUGAUGGAUACUUGGGCUGGCUGCUUCUGUAAUUUGGCUAUUGGUUUUAUUAUGCUACAGUAAACAUAAGGGUCCAUGUA